CAGAUCUUGGUGGUAGUAGC
rnacentral:ncRNA from 2 species